CAAAUACUCCCUCCGUUCCAAAUUACUUGUUGCUGAAAUGGAUGUAUCUAGAACUAAAAUACAUCUAGAUACAUCCAUAUGUGCGACAAGUAAUUUGGAACGGAGGGAGUAUUUA
rnacentral:pre_miRNA from 1 species